CAUCCCUUGCAUGGUGGAGGGCGAGCUCUCUGAAAACUCCUCCCACAUGCAGGGUUUGCA
rnacentral:pre_miRNA from 1 species